rnacentral:rRNA from 1 species
UACGUAGGUGACAAGCGUUGUCCGGAUUUACUGGGCGUAAAGAGCGCGCAGGCGGUCGAUCAAGUCGAGUGUGAAAGCCCCCGGCUCAACUGGGGAGGGUCAUUCGAAACUGGUCGACUCGAAGGCAGGAGAGGGUAGUGGAAUUCCCGGUGUAGUGGUGAAAUGCGUAGAUAUCGGGAGGAACACCAGUGGCGAAGGCGACUACCUGGCCUGUUUCUUGACGCUGAGGCGCGAAAGCUAGGGGAGCAAACGGG